ACGAUGGACCAAACAAGGGGGCAUAGAGCUGCCGGUAAAAGUUCACCUAAGAAGGCAAUCUAACUGCCAGGAAAAAUUAACUGCCGGCACAAAUAAAAGAGGACACACUUGCUGCCGGUAAAGAUGGAGGAGCACUGGCAAUCAAACUGCCGGCAACCAUUAAAACAUAUGGUGGCCCAUUAUCUGCCGGUAUAACUCAAUUCCGGCCCAUUAACUGCCGGCUCAACCCUCGCGGGGAGCGGAAAAAAAGCCCGCCGAAUUUGCGCGGGAGCAAAAAGUUGGCGAAAAGGACCCAUAUCUCGCUUGCCCUAGUACUUGGAAAAAAAAUCCCCGAAUCCCUAAAUCCCAAAUCUCACUUCCUCUCUCUCGUGUACGCGCGAGUUGCUCCUCCACCGCCGCCGGACGUCGUGCCUCUCCCCGCCGCCGGACGUCGCGCCUCUCCCCGCCGCCGCUCAGCCUUCUCUCCCUCAAGCUCGCGCGCCGCCUCACCCUCUCCUCUCCCCUCUCCGCCGCUCGUCGUUCCCCGCCACCACGCCGCCGCCCCGUCCCCGCCGAAAACGAGCUCGCCGCCGCCGGAAAGGAGCUCUCCGCCGCCUGUUGCUCAACGGACGGUGACCAUGGCGCACCUCCUCCUCUGAUUCGGAAAUCGAACAAGGACUCGUCCAUGGACCUCCUCCUGGCGCCGGCAACCACAACAAUGACCUGGUUCUUCCUGCCGCCGGCUAGAGGACGGCUGGCCGGCGAUGGAGAUCCACGGAGUCCGCUUUGCGCUCGUGGUGGACACCCUCUUCCCGAGGUCUCCUCCAUGACGCCGCCCCAGCAAGCCAGCGUCCGCACUUGACGUCUUUGCUCCCUGUCCCGUACCCUCGUCCCUUCCAUCUAGAACGGCGAGUGUACAAAAAAUCCCGAUUUUUCAUCUACUACACUAGCAGGAUUUCUAAUUAUGGGAACAAGUAGCCGUUUGUAGGUAGAUUCGUACGGGCUCUACUUGAUGUACUGCAGUUUCUUACUCUACUUCACACUGGUUUCAGCCCAAGGAAGCUUAUGCGAGUCAGUUGCUGCCCACCGGAGCUAUAUUAGAUGUUUACACACUGUAUAUAUUGUCAGUAGAUGUAUAUGCACUAUUAUGUGCUCAAUUCUUUUGAUUUUGUUUGCUGCUUAUUUUUAUGCAGGAGCAGUUCUCAUCAGCGACUUGCACAAAGUUCACCGUGGUGUAGCUCCGGAGGAUUUCUGCAAUCGGGAGGUCGACAACACAAGUUGUGGAAGAGGUCAAUUUUGCAAUUUAUGAGUUGGGGCGCUCCAGAAUAUGAUUUUGAUGUGGUUCAGAAAUAGUGUAGAAGCUGAUUUUGGUUUCUGUAGCAAAUGCUUGAUGGAUUAUGCUAUUCACGUGUAGAAAUAGUGUAGAUCUUGAUCAAGUGGUACCCUAUAGAAUUAUUCGUAUUAUGUUCAUGUUUGCAUUAGGAUUUGAACAAUGUUUUGUACGUGACCAGAUUAUGUUGAGAAUAUGUGGAUGUGUAUG